AUUUAGACAAGAAGAUCAAGGUUACUGGCAUGAUAAAAAAAAAAGAGGAAUUCUCUCCUGGGAACAGCUCAAGAUAAACUUCUGGAGAAGUUCAUCCCAAGGGAACGCAUGCCACAAAGAAGCACGCUCCUCGCGUAAUGCUCCUCAGCCUUGGCAGCAACUGCAUCUCAAAAACCAUAUUUUCCGCUGUUGACAGGCAGUGAGGUCAUUUCAAAGGGAAAACAGAUGGAGGAAGACGAGCGAGACAAGAGACAGACGGAAGAAUGCCUCCAGUGUGUGUCACCAGCGACUGGUCAGUGGUGAGAGACACCCAAAAAAACAAAGUGAAGCCUUCAAGCUUUUGUUGACAGCAGGUUAUAAUUCUUCCUCAGUGCUCAGUGAAAAUGCACGCUGUGUGAGCUAAACCACAGAUCUACAUGAGUAAGCGCCGAGCCUCGCUGAGACACUGGGUGUGACGUGAUAUUCCAUAAUCUUGGCUGCUAAAUGAUUCAUGACAAUCGUUUACGGGGUCUGUAAGAUCAUGUCAGCGCACUUAAUUCUGAUGCCUUGAUCAUCAUUGACCCAGAAUCUCCAUGGGGAGCUGCUGCUCUGACAGUAAUGACUUCGGCA